UCCGGUUUAACACCGGCAGUCCCAUUAAAGUGCCCAGCAUGACCUGAUGGCAACUAAUGGCAAGGGUUGCGCUCGUUGCGGGACUUAACCCAACAUCUCACGACACGAGCUGACGACAGCCAUGCAGCACCUGUCUUCUGGUCCCCGAAGGGUACUCCCAAAUUUCUAAGGGAUUCCAUCGAUGUCAAGUCUGGGUAAGGUUCUGCGCGUUGCGUCGAAUUAAACCACAUGCUCCACCGCUUGUGCGGGCCCCCGUCAAUUCCUUUGAGUUUCAGCCUUGCGGCCGUACUCCCCAGGCGGGGCACUUAAUGCGUUAGCGCCGGCACCCAGGGGGUCGCUCCCCCAGGCACCUAGUGCCCAUCGUUUACGGCGUGGACUAC
rnacentral:misc_RNA from 1 species